GAUGAACGCUGGCGGCGUGCCUAAUACAUGCAAGUCGAGCGAACAGACGAGGAGCUUGCUCCUCUGACGUUAGCGGCGGACGGGUGAGUAACACGUGGAUAACCUACCUAUAAGACUGGGAUAACUUCGGGAAACCGGAGCUAAUACCGGAUAAUAUAUUGAACCGCAUGGUUCAAUAGUGAAAGACGGUUUUGCUGUCACUUAUAGAUGGAUCCGCGCCUCAUUAGCUAGUUGGUAAGGUAACGCCUUACCAAGGCAACGAUGCGUAGCCGACCUGAGAGGGUGAUCGGCCACACUGGAACUGGGACACGGUCCAGACUCCUACGGGAGGCAGCAGUAGGGAAUCUUCCGCAAUGGGCGAAAGCCUGACGGAGCAACGCCGCGUGAGUGAUGAAGGUCUUCGGAUCGUAAAACUCUGUUAUUAGGGAAGAACAAAUGUGUAAGUAACUAUGCACGUAUUGACGGUACCUAAUCAGAAAGCCACGGCUAACUACGUG
rnacentral:rRNA from 1 species